rnacentral:rRNA from 1 species
CCCAAGAGAUCGGGAUAACACCUGGAAACAGAUGCUAAUACCGGAUAACAACAGAUGAUGCCUAUCAACUGUUUAAAAGAUGGUUCUGCUAUCACUCUUGGAUGGACCUGCGGUGCAUUAGCUAGUUGGUAGGGUAACGGCCUACCAAGGCGAUGAUGCAUAGCCGAGUUGAGAGACUGAUCGGCCACAUUGGGACUGAGACACGGCCCAAACUCCUACGGGAGGCAGCAGUG